rnacentral:rRNA from 1 species
CCUGUACUUGGUGUUACUGCGAAGGGGGGACGGAGAAGGCUAUGUUGGCCGGGCGACGGUUGUCCCGGUUUAAGCAUGUAGGCGGAUGUUCCAGGUAAAUCCGGAACGUUAUUAACGCUGAGGUGUGAUGACGAGGCACUACGGUGCUGAAGUGACAAAUGCCCUGCUUCCAGGAAAAGCCUCUAAGCAUCAGGUAACAUCAAAUCGUACCCCAAACCGACAC